CGCAUAUAUGCUGGAAUGCUUUAUGCGUAAAAUGGAUUCGUCUGCCCAAGGAUGGGUCUGCGGCCUAUCAGGUAGUAGUGGGUGUAAUGUACCUACUAGCCUACAACGGGUACGGGUUGUGAGAGCAAGAGCCCGGAGAUGGAUUCUGAGACAUGAAUCCAGGCCCUACGGGGCGCAGCAGGCGCGAAAACUUUACAAUGCGGGAAACCGUGAUAAGGGGACACCGAGUGCCAGCAUCAUAUGUUGGCUGUCCAGAUGUGUAAAAUACAUCUGUUAGCAAGGGCCGGGCAAGACCGGUGCCAGCCGCCGCGGUAACACCGGCGGCCCGAGUGGUGAUCGUGAUUAUUGGGUCUAAAGGGUCCGUAGCCGGUUUGGUCAGUCCUCCGGGAAAUCUGACGGCUCAACCGUUAGGCUUUCGGUGGAUACUGCCAGACUUGGAACCGGGAGAGGUAAGAGGUACUACAGGGGUAGGAGUGAAAUCUUGUAAUCCCUGUGAGACCACCUGUGGCGAAGGCGUCUUACCAGAACGGGUUCGACGGUGAGGGACGAAAGCUGGGGGCACGAACCGGAUUAGAUACCCGGGUAGUCCCAGCCGUAAACGAUGCUCGCUAGGUGUCAGGCAUGGCGCGACCGUGUCUGGUGCCGCAGGGAAGCCGUGAAGCGAGCCACCUGGGAAGUACGGCCGCAAGGCUGAAACUUAAAGGAAUUGGCGGGGGAGCACAACAACGGGUGGAGCCUGCGGUUUAAUUGGACUCAACGCCGGACAACUCACCGGGGACGACAGCAAAAUGUAGGCCAGGCUGAAGACCUUGCCUGAAUCGCUGAGAGGAGGUGCAUGGCCGUCGCCAGUUCGUACUGUGAAGCAUCCUGUUAAGUCAGGCAACGAGCGAGACCCGUGCCCACUGUUACCAGCAUGUCCUCCGGGACGAUGGGUACUCUGUGGGGACCGCCGAUGUUAAAUCGGAGGAAGGUGCGGGCCACGGUAGGUCAGUAUGCCCCGAAUUUCCCGGGCUACACGCGGGCUACAAUGAAUGGGACAAUGGGUCCCUCCCCUGAAAAGGGCUGGUAAUCUCCCAAACCCAUCCGUAGUUCGGAUCGAGGG
rnacentral:rRNA from 1 species